rnacentral:lncRNA from 1 species
GCGUGCGUGUGUGUGUGUGUGUUGCUAUCUCAUAGCAUCUGUUUAUUUCCAUGUCCGCAGCAAAGUGCUGGGCACACAGAAGGACAACGUGAUGAAGCGCCAUCACAUGGCUGGUAGCCUGUGGUGAGUCACCGGACUUCUCGACUCCCACCUCACUAGGGUGGAAGGAACAGUAACCACAACGCUCUGCAACUCGGGCUGCGCCCGCAUGAUUGGAAACAAUCUGUGAAGUGAGUCACAUCAGUUGCAAAAACAAUUAAGUCAGUGGGAUUGUGGAGUGAACAACCCCGAAGAAAUAGACUUCUAAUUCUA